GCGUAAAGCGUGCGUAGGCGGUUCGUUAAGUCAGAUGUGAAAGCCCUGGGCUCAACCUGGGAACUGCAUUUGAAACUGGCGGACUAGAGUUUAGUAGAGGGGAGUGGAAUUUCAGGUGUAGCGGUGAAAUGCGUAGAUAUCUGAAGGAACACCAGUGGCGAAGGCGACUCCCUGGACUAGAACUGACGCUGAGGUACGAAAGCGUGGGUAGCAAACAGGAUUAGAUACCCUGGUAGUCCACGCCGUAAACGAUGUCGACUAGCCGUUGGUCCUAUUUACAGGAUUAGUGGCGCAGCUAAGCGCAUUAAGUCGACCGCCUGGGGAGUACGGCCGCAAGGUUAAAACUCAAAUGAAUUGACGGGGGCCCGCACAAGCGGUGGAGCAUGUGGUUUAAUUCGAUGCUACGCGAAGAACCUUACCUACCCUUGACAUCCAGAGAAUCUGUUAGAGAUAGUAGAGUGCCUUCGGGAGCUCUGAGACAGGUGCUGCAUGGCUGUCGUCAGCUCGUGUCGUGAGAUGUUGGGUUAAGUCCCGUAACGAGCGCAACCCUUAUCCUUAGUUGCCAGCGGGUCAUGCCGGGAACUCUAGGGAGACUGCCGGUGAUAAACCGGAGGAGGGUGGGGACGACGUCAAGUCAUCAUGGCCCUUACGGGUAGGGCUACACACGUGCUACAAUGGCCGGUACAGAGGGCUGCGAACUUGCGAAAGUAAGCAAAUCCCAGAAAGCCGGUCUUAGUCCGGAUUGGAGUCUGCAACUCGACUCCAUGAAGUCGG
rnacentral:rRNA from 1 species